rnacentral:rRNA from 1 species
UCCAGUAGCUAGCUCUCUGCAGCUUUUACAUGUUCGCUUACUGAAGCUAAGGAGGGCUGCACCCGGUCAGUACCUGGAUGGGAGACCAUGGGAACAUGGGAAAACUAGGUUGCUGCCAGAA